rnacentral:rRNA from 1 species
UACGUAGGUGGCAAGCGUUGUCCGGAUUUACUGGGCGUAAAGAGCGCGCAGGCGGUCGAUCAAGUCGCGUGUGAAAGCCCCCGGCUCAACUGGGGAGGGUCACUCGAUACUGAUCGACUCGAAGGCAGAAGAGGGAAGCGGAAUUCCCGGUGUAGUGGUGAAAUGCGUAGAUAUCGGGAGGAACACCAGUGGCGAAGGCGGCUUUCUGGUCUGCUCUUGACGCUGAGGCGCGAAAGCUAGGGUAGCAAACGGG